AUUGAACGCUGGCGGCAUGCUUUACACAUGCAAGUCGAACGGUAACAGGUCUUCGGAUGCUGACGAGUGGCGCACGGGUGAGUAAUACAUCGGAACGUGCCUAGUAGUGGGGGAUAACUACUCGAAAGAGUAGCUAAUACCGCAUGAGAUCUACGGAUGAAAGCAGGGGACCUUCGGGCCUUGUGCUACUAGAGCGGCUGAUGGCAGAUUAGGUAGUUGGUGGGGUAAAGGCUUACCAAGCCUGCGAUCUGUAGCUGGUCUGAGAGGACGACCAGCCACACUGGGACUGAGACACGGCCCAGACUCCUACGGGAGGCAGCAGUGGGGAAUUUUGGACAAUGGGCGAAAGCCUGAUCCAGCAAUGCCGCGUGCAGGAUGAAGGCCCUCGGGUUGUAAACUGCUUUUGUACGGAACGAAAAGCCUGGGGCUAAUAUCCCCGGGUCAUGACGGUACCGUAAGAAUAGGCACCGGCUAACUACGUG
rnacentral:rRNA from 1 species